CCUACGGGCGGCAGCAGUGAGGAAUAUUGGUCAAUGGACGAGAGUCUGAACCAGCCAAGUCGCGUGAAGGAUGACUGCCCUAUGGGUUGUAAACUUCUUUUAUAUGGGAAUAAAAUGUUCCACGUGUGGGAUUUUGUAUGUACCAUAUGAAUAAGGAUCGGCUAACUCCGUGCCAGCAGCCGCGGUAAUACGGAGGAUCCGAGCGUUAUCCGGAUUUAUUGGGUUUAAAGGGAGCGUAGGUGGAUUGUUAAGUCAGUUGUGAAAGUUUGCGGCUCAACCGUAAAAUUGCAGUUGAAACUGGCAGUCUUGAGUACAGUAGAGGUAGGCGGAAUUCGUGGUGUAGCGGUGAAAUGCUUAGAUAUCGCGAAGAACUCCGAUUGCGAAGGCAGUUCACUGGACUGCAACUGACACUGAGGCUCGAAAGUGUGGGUAUCAAACAGGAUUAGAUACCCGGGUAGUC
rnacentral:rRNA from 1 species